rnacentral:rRNA from 1 species
GAUGAACGCUGGCGGCAUGCAUCACACAUUCAAGUCGAACGGAGUUAUCCUUUCGGGGGUAACUUAGUGGCGGACGGGUGAGUAACGCGUGAGCAACCUGCCUUGCAUUGCGGGAUAACAACCGGAAACAGUUGCUAAUACCGCAUGAUGUACACGGAUCGCAUGUUCUGUGUACCAACGAUUUAUUGAUGUAAGAUGGGCUCGCGUCCGAUUAGGCAGUUGGUGGGGUCACGGCCCACCAAACCGACGAUCGGUAGCCGAACUGAGAGGUUGAACGGCCACAUUGGAACUGAGAUACGGUCCAGACUCCUACGGGAGGCAGCAGUGGGGAAUAUUGGGCAAUGGGCGAAAGCCUGACCCAGCGACGCCGCGUGAGGGAAGAAGGUCUUCGGAUUGUAAACCUCUUUCAGCAGGGAAGAAAUUUUGACGGUACCUGCAGAAGAAGUCACGGCUAACUACGUGCCAGCCGCCGCAGUAAAAC